rnacentral:rRNA from 1 species
AUUGAACGCUGGCGGCAUGCCUUACACAUGCAAGUCGAACGGCAGCACGGGAGCAAUCCUGGUGGCGAGUGGCGAACGGGUGAGUAAUAUAUCGGAACGUGCCCGGUCGUGGGGAUAACGUAGCGAAAGCUACGCUAAUACCGCAUACGAUCUACGGAUGAAAGCGGGGGAUCGCAAGACCUCGCGCGAUUGGAGCGGCCGAUAUCAGAUUAGGUAGUUGGUGAGGUAAAGGGCUCACCCAAGCCGACGAUCUGUAGCUGGUCUGAGAGGACGACCAGCCACACUGGGACUGAGACACGGCCCAGACUCCUACGGAGGCAGCAGUGGGGAAUUUUGGACAAUGGGCGCAAGCCUGAUCCAGCAAUGCCGCGUGCAGGAUGAA